UCUCCCAAGGCUAAAUACUCCCUAGUGACCGAUAGUGAACCAGUACCGUGAGGGAAAGGUGAAAAGCACCCCGGAAGGGGAGUGAAACAGUUCCUGAAACCGUGUGCCUACAAGUAGUUAGAGCCCGUUAAUGGGUGAUAGCGUGCCUUUUGUAGAAUGAACCGGCGAGUUACGAUUUGUUGCAAGGUUAAGCGGAAAAAGCGGAGCCGUAGCGAAAGCGAGUCUGAAUAGGGCGCAUAAGUAACAGGUCGUAGACCCGAAACCAGGUGAUCUACCCAUGUCCAGGAUGAAGGUAAGGUAAUACUUACUGGAGGUCCGAACCCACGCACGUUGAAAAGUGCGGGGAUGAGGUGUGGGUAGCGGAGAAAUUCCAAUCGAACUUGGAGAUAGCUGGUUCUCUCCGAAAUAGCUUUAGGGCUAGCCUCGAGGUAAAGAGUCAUGGAGGUAGAGCACUGUUUGGACUAGGGGCCCUUCUCGGGUUACCGAAUUCAGAUAAACUCCGAAUGCCAUGUACUUAUACUCGGGAGUCAGACUGCGAGUGAUAAGAUCCGUAGUCGAAAGGGAAACAGCCCAGACCACCAGUUAAGGUCCCCAAAUAUAUGUUAAGUGGAAAAGGAUGUGGGGUUGCUUAGACAACCAGGAUGUUGGCUUAGAAGCAGCCACCAUUGAAAGAGUGCGUAAUAGCUCACUGGUCGAGUGACCCCGCGCCGAAAAUGUACCGGGGCUAAACAUAUUACCGAAACUGUGGAUGAACCUCUUUAGAGGUUCGUGGUAGGAGAGCGUUCUAAGGGCGGUGAAGUCAGACCGGAAGGACUGGUGGAGCGCUUAGAAGUGAGAAUGCCGGUAUGAGUAGCGAAAGAAGGGUGAGAAUCCCUUCCACCGAAUAUCUAAGGUUUCCUGAGGAAGGCUCGUCCGCUCAGGGUUAGUCGGGACCUAAGCCGAGGCCGAUAGGCGUAGGCGAUGG
rnacentral:rRNA from 1 species